GUGAAAUUUGAAGUCUACUUAACUUCUCCAUGCAUACGAGAAACCUGAAAGAACACUAACCGUGGCGGGAACCGAGGUCUAGAAUCUUCGGAUAUCUUUGGGUGGCUUGAAGUUGAGAGGAUGAGUUUCAGGGGUAGCAUUUUCAUCUUCUUUCCACAUUUUAAUCGUUUUGUCUGCUUCACAAGUUACAAGUCUCGAACCAGUUAUGUCAUAAGAAAUCGCGUAGAUACCAGCUUCGCUAUCCAACGAGCCAGGUUGUACAAUUGUUUGCGAUUGCUGGAAGUUAUGACCACUCUUCCAGUCCCAAAACCAUAAGCUGCCAUUGUCACCUCCAGUCACCAUAACACCCUCCUCAUUGACAGCCAUUGCAUUGAUUAUAGUCUUCUGCUGAGAAAGCAUAUUGUGCAGAAACUCCCCUCUGGGAAGGUUAAA
rnacentral:misc_RNA from 1 species